rnacentral:rRNA from 1 species
GACGAACGCUGGCGGCGUGCCUAAUACAUGCAAGUCGAACGCUUUUUCUUUCACCGGAGCUUGCUCCACCGAAAGAAAAAGAGUGGCGAACGGGUGAGUAACACGUGGGUAACCUGCCCAUCAGAAGGGGAUAACACUUGGAAACAGGUGCUAAUACCGUAUAACACUAUUUUCCGCAUGGAAGAAAGUUGAAAGGCGCUUUUGCGUCACUGAUGGAUGGACCCGCGGUGCAUUAGCUAGUUGGUGAGGUAACGGCUCACCAAGGCAACGAUGCAUAGCCGACCUGAGAGGGUGAUCGGCCACACUGGGACUGAGACACGGCCCAGACUCCUACGGGAGGCAGCAGUAGGGAAUCUUCGGCAAUGGACGAAAGUCUGACCGAGCAACGCCGCGUGAGUGAAGAAGGUUUUCGGAUCGUAAAACUCUGUUGUUAGAGAAGAACAAGGAUGAGAGUAAAACGUUCAUCCCUUGACGGUAUCUAACCAGAAAGCCACGGCUAACUACGUGCCAGCAGCCGCGGUAAUACGUAGGUGGCAAGCGUUGUCCGGAUUUAUUGGGCGUAAAGCGAGCGCAGGCGGUUUCUUAAGUCUGAUGUGAAAGCCCCCGGCUCAACCGGGGAGGGUCAUUGGAAACUGGGAGACUUGAGUGCAGAAGAGGAGAGUGGAAUUCCAUGUGUAGCGGUGAAAUGCGUAGAUAUAUGGAGGAACACCAGUGGCGAAGGCGGCUCUCUGGUCUGUAACUGACGCUGAGGCUCGAAAGCGUGGGGAGCGAACAGGAU